rnacentral:misc_RNA from 1 species
UCUCCGUUGGUGAACCAGCGGAGGGAUCAUUACCGAGUUUACAACUCACAAACCCCAUGUGAACCUUACCAAACGUUGCUUCGGCAGGAUGCCCCGGGCGCGGGCCGCAAGGCCUCAGCCCCGGAACCAGGCGCCCGGCGGAGGCCCAAGCCAAACUCUUGUUUUUGUAGAAUCUUCUGAUUGGCCUUUUAGGCAAAAAAUGAAUCAAAACUUUCAACAACGGAUCUCUUGGUUCUG